AUGUCCCAUGUUGCACUAUCCAAUAUGAUAGUCACUAGGCACAUGGGCUGUUGAACAAUAGAAAUAUGGCUAAUGUAAUUGAGAAACUGAAAAUGUAAUUUACAUGUACAUUUAAGAUGAAAUAGCCAGACAUGGCUACUAUUAUAAUGGACAACACAUUUUUACAAAUUAUGAGUUGACUUUAUUAUACCAGCCUCUAUCUCAUACUUCCUUAUUAUCUUCAAAACACAAUCGAUCAGGAACAAAAACGUAAUCUCAAGCUUCUAGAAAUUUGGCACACUCACCAAAGAACUGAAUACUCCUUUGCAGUCAGACCAUGUGUUCCAGACAACAUAACUAGAAAGAUGUGAGAAGGCACUUCAUGUGGGAGAUAAGCCUUGUUUUACUUAAUCCACUGAGAUGUCAGAGUUAAUUGUUACAGCAGCAGCCUGUUGUAUAGGCUGACUAACACAUGGUAACUAACAGAACACUUUGGAUUCUUGACAAAAUAAGAGCAAGAAAGCAGCAGCAGAAGCAGAAAUCAGAGGGGCGAGAAACCAAAAGCAACAGAGCAAGAUUUGCAUGGUAUUCAGAGAUUUCUCUGUGGGAACUUCUUGGGUCAGAACAUAAUCCGCAUAUCCACUGUUAUCUCCCAGACCCUCAAUAGUGCAGGAAAUCAUGAAUUGUAAUUCUCAAUGUCAUUGAGAGUUGCAAGCCUUGUGAGAGUUGCAGAGCCUUCAGGACAGCAUACUACCAUGUAGUGUUGGGUGCCAGCUCUAGGCCACGUAGCCCAGCUGUGAAUUCUGGCUGUGUGACCUGCCAGUGCUGUGACUGUUGAUCACCCAUGGACUUCUGGAGCCACUUUGCUCAAACAAACAGAGUCUAGGAGUUUAUGACCCCAGCGGCAUCUGUGAUCAGUGACUCGUGCAGGAAUAUCAAUGUCCAACAGCCUCAACUAUGGACAGGAUAAAGUCUGCUGUGCAAUUUACCUCCAGAGCUCCUGCACAGGUUCAGGCUGAGGCUGGGUCUUCACUCAAAAUCUCACCCUGUUGUCCUGCCCUACUCUGUUUCUUUCACUCCCAUACCA
rnacentral:lncRNA from 1 species